rnacentral:rRNA from 1 species
AAACUGAAGAGUUUGAUCCUGGCUCAGAUUGAACGCUGGCGGCAUGCCUUACACAUGCAAGUCGAACGGCAGCGCGGGGCAACCUGGCGGCGAGUGGCGAACGGGUGAGUAAUAUAU